GCGUCGGUGGUGCAACGGAUUAGCACAUGUUUCCGGUAAGAGUAAAAUUCAGGUUCAAAUCCCGGCUGACGCA